AACAAACGCUGGCGGCGUGCCUAAUACAUGCAAGUCGAACGGGGAAAGCUUUCGGGUGAGUACUAGUGACGCACGGGUGAGUAACGCGUGGAUAAUCUGCCUUAGAGUGGGGGAUAACUAGUCGAAAGAUUUGCUAAUACCGCAUAAGACCACAAGAACUGCGGUUCAAGGGGUCAAAGGUUUUUCGCUCUAAGAUGAGUCCGCGUAAGAUUAGCUAGUUGGUAGGGUAACGGCCUACCAAGGCGACGAUCUUUAACUGGUCUGAGAGGAUGAUCAGUCACACUGGAACUGAGACACGGUCCAGACUCCUACGGGAGGCAGCAGUAGGGAAUAUUGCACAAUGGAGGAAACUCUGAUGCAGCGACGCCGCGUGAGUGAUGAAGGCCUUCGGGUCGUAAAGCUCUGUCGCAGGGGAAUAACACAAUGAAGGUACCCUGUAAGAAAGGAUCGGCUAACUUCGUGCCAGCCGCCGCUGUAAAAC
rnacentral:rRNA from 1 species